rnacentral:rRNA from 1 species
AACGGACUUAACUCAUUCUUUUAGAUUGAGAGCGGUUAGUGGCGGACUGGUGAGUAACACGUAAGCAACCUGCCUAUCAGAGGGGAAUAACAGUGAGAAAUCAUUGCUAAUACCGCAUAUGCUCACAGUAUCACAUGAUACAGUGAGGAAAGGAGCAAUCCGCUGAUAGAUGGGCUUGCGCCUGAUUAGUUAGUUGGUGGGGUAACGGCCUACCAAGACGACGAUCAGUAGCCGGACUGAGAGGUUGAACGGCCACAUUGGGACUGAGAUACGGCCCAGACUCCUACGGGAGGCAGCAGUCGGGAAUAUUGCGCAAUGGAGGAAACUCUGACGCAGUGACGCCGCGUAUAGGAAGAAGGUUUUCGGAUUGUAAACUAUUGUCGUUAGGGAAGAUAAAAGACUGUACCUAAGGAGGAAGCCCCGGCUAACUAUGUGCCAGCAGCCGCGGUAAUACAUAGGGGGCAAGCGUUAUCCGGAAUUAUUGGGUGUAAAGGGUGCGUAGACGGAAGAACAAGUUGGUUGUGAAAUCCCUCGGCUCAACUGAGGAACUGCAACCAAAACUAUUCUCCUUGAGUGU